rnacentral:sRNA from 1 species
ACGUAACCUACGGUGUCCCGCUAGGAAAGAGAGGUGCGUCAAACAGCGACAAGUUCCGCCCACGUAAAAGAUGACGCUUGGUGCGUCAGCCGUCCCUGCUGCCCGGUUGCUUCUCUUUGGGGGCGGGGUCUAGCAAGAGCAGGUGUGGGUUUAGAAGAUAUCUCCAGCGCAUUUGGAUAAUGUGACAGUUGGAAUGCAGUGAUGUCAACUCUUUGCCCACCGCCAUCUCCAGCUGUUGCCAAGACAGAGAUUGCUUUAAGUGGCGAAUCACCUUUAUUAGCAGCUACUUUUGCUUACUGGGACAAUAUUCUUGGUCCUAGAGUAAGGCACAUUUGGGCUCCAAAGACAGAACAGGUACUUCUCAGUGAUGGAGAAAUAACUUUUCUUGCCAACCACACUCUAAAUGGAGAAAUCCUUCGAAAUGCAGAGUGUGGUGCUAUAGAUGUAAAGUUUUUUGUCUUAUCUGAAAAGGGAGUGAUUAUUGUUUCAUUAAUCUUUGAUGGAAACUGGAAUGGGGAUCGCAGCACAUAUGGACUAUCAAUUAUACUUCCACAGACAGAACUUAGUUUCUACCUCCCACUUCAUAGAGUGUGUGUUGAUAGAUUAACACAUAUAAUCCGGAAAGGAAGAAUAUGGAUGCAUAAGGAAAGACAAGAAAAUGUCCAGAAGAUUAUCUUAGAAGGCACAGAGAGAAUGGAAGAUCAGGGUCAGAGUAUUAUUCCAAUGCUUACUGGAGAAGUGAUUCCUGUAAUGGAACUGCUUUCAUCUAUGAAAUCACACAGUGUUCCUGAAGAAAUAGAUAUAGCUGAUACAGUACUCAAUGAUGAUGAUAUUGGUGACAGUUGUCAUGAAGGCUUUCUU